AAUAAAUCAUGAUAAUUCUAUUCUACUGGGUUUUCUUGCCAAUAUGAGAAAUUGCUUCAUCUCCUUUUAGUUACUUUAAAGCAGAUGACUGAGCAGAGCAAGAAUUUGGAGAAUGAAAACAGAGAACUUGCAGAAAAUAUAUCUGCUUGGGUGCAGAAGACCAACAACGCAAAGAAAUGCUUAGAGGAGGCCAUCAGGCAAAAGAAGAUGCCCUCUGAGAAAGCACUGAAGUUUAAGAGCUUGGAAGCCAUUGAGAAGGUGAAUGAAAAUUUGAAUGACAUCAUUCAGAUUGUUCGAGCUAAGCUGCAGGC